UUAACUUAUUGUGUAUGACUCGGACGACAGCAUUCAGGGUGGGGGGGUCUCUGGCGGGCGCGAGCCGGCGCGGGCCGGCAGCCGCGAGGCAGGCCCGCCAAAGCAACAGAGGAGGGUAGACAGAGGGUGGGAGAUCUACCCCGGGGGGCAUAUUCUCUUUAGUGAUCCUUCCGCAGGUUCACCUACGGAAA
rnacentral:misc_RNA from 1 species